AACACUAGCAGCUAUCUAUGAUAUUUCACAGACUGUGCAUCAGAACAAGAGGAACCAUUUGAAAAAAUGACAGAAUUCCAAGUCUAGGACAUGGGGUAGGGCAGCAGAAGAAACUGAUUUGAGUAUUCAGCUCCUAGAAUGAUCCAAGGAAUGAUUCAAGCUAGUGACAACAUGGCUCAUUCAAGACCAAGCUUUUACCUCUUCUGACAACAUGAUCCAAAGGCGAUCUAG
rnacentral:lncRNA from 1 species